rnacentral:lncRNA from 1 species
GUUGGAGUCUACUUCUAAGAAAUCGAAGGUAAUUUUAGCGAUUUGCAUUACUCCAUAUUGGAUUUGAAGUACAUUUAGUAUUAAUCAUUUCAAUACAUAUGCAGAACGCUUCGGCGUCAACAUUAGGGAAGAGAUCGAGGUCGAGUAACGCGAUCAACCCGACUCAGCCACAACAACCCAUGUCAUCACCGUUCUCUCUGUCACAAUUUUCCACUAACACACCGUCAUCAAAUGGGUAAAUUAGUUGAUGCAAUAUUUAAGGUAGGAUGUCAAAAAGUGAAUUUCUACACAUCAAAAACAAUAAAUGAAUUUCUACCUUUUAUUCCAUGAUUGUAUUCUGUUUUGUUCUUAAGAAUGACCAUCUACUUUACUUCACUGUCAACCAUUGUUACCAUUGCGUCAUUGCCUAAUACAAGAUGAAAUCUGGUAUAAUUGAUGGUCAGAAAAGUAUGGUGUGCAUCCUGGGUUUCUUUCAAUAGACAUAUUAUAAGAGCUUCCUAUCUUGUGUUAGUAAUUCACAAGUCUUUCUAGGUAGUAAAAGGAUAUAUAUUCGUGACCAUAUUUGUACUAGUGUGGGCUUGAAAGUAUGUAAACUUAUAGCAUUACAAAUGACUUAUAUUGCCUGGUUUUUUUUUCCUAGUUUGGUUGUUUUCAUUUUGUAUUUAUUUUGCUCAGCCUUUAAAAGAUUGCAACCUGAAUGAUUAAAAUUUGGGAAAUCCUCUAAACCAAUGAUACAUUAAAUUCAUACUCUGAGGUAAGAAACUAGAAGGGUCUGGUCUAUUUGGUAAUUCAUACACAGGUUGCUAAAUUUACAGAGUCAACAUACAAGCACCAAGAAUUCACUAUCUUUGGAAAUUACUGAGCAAUGCAUAGGUUGUAUCUCUAAUAUUCCUGUUGUACAGAUGACUCCCUUCA